rnacentral:lncRNA from 1 species
ACAUGCCUUGAAAAUGAAGGUUGGCUCUACAGAGGCACAAGAUUCGAAUUCUCGAUCGGCAAUUGAGGUGGUCUCGAUGAUCACUCCCUGGCCGACAGUUGUCAUUGGCCUACAGGGGUUGUUGAGCGAUGUUUGACUCUAGCUUUCCUUAUAGAGGGGACCUACCACUGCCCUGGGGUGAAAUUAGUCUAUAGCCCAUUAUGGCACUGUAGAGCAAUUCUUCUUGCCAUUGGCGAGUGGCAGACAUCUUUUCUGUAGGUGAGGAAGCCUAUCUUCUUGGUCGAGGCUGCUCGUUCUUUCGAACGGGCUGUCACCAACCAUUUAGGGGAAGCACAUCGCUACAUAGAUCUUGGUUUGGCAUGGGAGGUAUUGAAAAUUUUUAUCUCACCGUUGGAGAACUCGGGCUUGCGUUCUUGGGGAAUUUCUCCGGUGCAGCACCCGAAGGAUAGGUCUUUGACCUUUAUGGGGGGCACCUCCUUCCUCAUCGUUGAGAUGGCUUCAAUGAUAGUCUUUGAUGGGGCAUCCACGGAGUACGUGCUUCCGAGAAAGAUAGCCAUCUGGCUGUUAAUACAUCUUUUGAGGAGAUUGCGACCUUCGUCGAUGGGAGAAUCCUCACACUGGGACCCUGAGUGACCUUUUUAGUGCUAUUCGAAUCAGUCAGUGUUGCUCGUCGG